GACUAACGCUGGCGGCGUGCCUAACACAUGCAAGUCGAACGAAGCAGCAAUGCUUAGUGGCAGACGGGUGAGUAACGCGUAGAUAAUGUGCCCUCUUGCGGGGGGAUACCGUUUCGAAAGGAACGUUAAUACCGCAUAAAGUCCUUAGGAGGCAUCUCUUAGGGAUCAAACUUCCGGGGCGGGAGGAGCAAUCUGCGUACUAUCAGCUAGUUGGUGAGGUAAUGGCUCACCAAGGCUACGACGGUUAACUGGUCUGAGAGGAUGAUCAGUCACGCUGGAACUGAGACACGGUCCAGACUCCUACGGGAGGCAGCAGUGAGGAAUAUUGCACAAUGGGGCGAAAGCCUGAUGCAGCGACGCCGCGUGGAGGAUGAAGGAUUUCGGUCUGUAAACUCCUGUCAGUAGGGAAGAGAAUGGACGGUACCUACUGAGGAAGCUUCGGCUAACUACGU
rnacentral:rRNA from 1 species